GAGAGUAUAGCUCAGUGGUUAGAACACACGCUUAGCAUGCAUGAGGUCCUGGGUUCAGUCCCCAGUACCUCCA
rnacentral:tRNA from 1 species